GCGGAGAGGGUCUGUAACUGAGUGUUGGGGUUAGAGAACGGAGAGGGUCUGUAACUGAGUGUUGGGGUUAGAGAACGGAGAGGGUCUGUAACUGGGUGUUUGGGUUAGAGAACGGAGAGGGUCUGUAACUGAGUGUUGGGGUUAGAGAACAGAGAGGGUCUGUAACUGAGUGUUGGGGUUAGAGAACAGAGAGGGUCUGUAACUGGGUGUUGGGGUUAGGGAACGGAGAGGGUCUGUAACUGAGUGUUUGGGUUAGAGAACAGAGAGGGUCUGUAACUGGGUGUUGGGGUUAGAGAACGGAGAGGGUCUGUAACUGGGUGUUGGGGUUAGAGAACGGAGAGGGUCUGUAACUGAGUGUUGGGGUUAGAGAACGGAGAGGGUCUGUAACUGAGUGUUGGGGUUAGAGAACGGAGAGGGUUUGUAACUGAGUGUUGGGGUUAGAGAACGGAGAGGGUCUGUAACUGAGUGUUGGGGUUAGAGAACAGAGAGGGUCUGUAACUGAGUGUUGGGGUUAGAGAACAGAGAGGGUCUGUAACUGAGUGUUGGGGUUAGAGAACGGAGAGGGUCUGUAACUGAGUGUUGGGGUUAGAGAACGGAGAGGGUCUGUAACUGAGUGUUGGGGUUAGAGAACGGAGAGGGUCUGUAACUGAGUGUUGGGGUUAGAGAACAGAGAGGGUCUGUAACUGAGUGUUGGGGUUAGAGAACGGAGAGGGUCUGUAACUGAGUGUUGAGGUUAGAGAACAGAGAGGGUCUGUAACUGGGUGUUGGGGUUAGAGAACAGAGAGGGUCUGUAACUGAGUGUUGGGGUUAGAGAACGGAGAGGGUCUGUAACUGAGUGUUGAGGUUAGAGAACAGAGAGGGUCUGUAACUGGGUGUUGGGGUUAGAGAACAGAGAGGGUCUGUAACUGAGUGUUGGGGUUAGAGAACGGAGAGGGUCUGUAACUGAGUGUUGGGGUUAGAGAACAGAGAGGGUCUGUAACUGAGUGUUGGGGUUAGAGAACAGAGAGGGUCUGUAACUGAGUGUUGGGGUUAGAGAACGGAGAGGGUCUGUAACUGAGUGUUGGGGUUAGAGAACGGAGAGGGUCUGUAACUGAGUGUUGGGGUUAGAGAACAGAGAGGGUCUGUAACUGAGUGUUGGGGUUAGAGAACAGAGAGGGUCUGUAACUGAGUGUUGGGGUUAGAGAACGGAGAGGGUCUGUAACUGAGUGUUGGGGUUAGAGAACGGAGAGGGUCUGUAACUGGGUGUUGAGGUUAAAGAACGGAGAGGGUCUGUAACUGAGUGUUGGGGUUAGAGAACGGAGAGGGUCUGUAACUGAGUGUUGGGGUUAGAGAACGGAGCGGGUCUAACUGGGUGUUUGGGUUAGAGAACGGAGAUGGUCUGUAACUGAGUGUUGGGGUUAGAGAACGGAGAGGGUCUGUAACUGAGUGUUGGGGUUAGAGAACGGAAAGGGUCUGUAACUGAGUGUUGGGGUUAGAGAACGGAGAGGGUCUGUAACUGAGUGUUGGGGUUAGAGAGCGGAGAGGGUCUGUAACUGAGUGUUGGGGUUAGAGAACGGAGAGGAUCUGUAACUGGGUGUUGGGGUUAGAGAACGGAGAGGGUCUGUAACUAGGUGUUGGGGUUAGAGAACGGAGAGGGUCUGUAACUGGGUGUUGGGGUUAGAGAACGGAGAGGGUCUGUAACUGAGUGUUGGGGUUAGAGAACGGAGAGGGUCUGUAACUGAGUGUUGGGGUUAGAGAACGGAAAGGGUCUGUAACUGAGUGUUGGGGUUAGAGAACAGAGAGGGUCUGUAACUGAGUGUUGGGGUUAGAGAACGGAGAGGGUCUGUAACUGAGUGUUGGAGUUAGAGAACAGAGAGGGUCUGUAACUGGGUGUUUGGGUUAGAGAACAGAGAGGGUCUGUAACUGAGUGUUGGGGUUAGAGAACAGAGAGGGUCUGUAACUGAGUGUUGGGGUUAGAGAACGGAAAGGGUCUGUAACUAAGUGUUGGGGUUAGAGAACAGAGAGGGUCUGUAACUGAGUGUUGGGGUUAGAGAACGGAAAGGGUCUGUAACUGGGUGUUGGGGUUAGAGAACAGAGAGGGUCUGUAACUGAGUGUUGGGGUAUGGAGGGUGAUGUGAUAUCUGACUGAGCUGCUGUAUGUCUCUGUCUGUCUCAGGUGGUGAUGAUACUUGUUGCCAUUAAAGUGCCUUAAUGACUA